UACGGAGGGUGCAAGCGUUAUCCGGAUUUAUUGGGUUUAAAGGGUCCGUAGGCGGGUCAGUAAGUCAGUGGUGAAAUCUCAUAGCUUAACUAUGAAACUGCCAUUGAUACUGCUGGUCUUGAGUGUAGUUGAAGUGGCUGGAAUGAGUAGUGUAGCGGUGAAAUGCAUAGAUAUUACUCAGAACACCAAUUGCGAAGGCAGGUCACUAAGUUACAACUGACGCUGAUGGACGAAAGCGUGGGGAGCGAACAGG
rnacentral:rRNA from 1 species